UACGUAGGUGGCAAGCGUUGUCCGGAAUUAUUGGGCGUAAAGCGCGCGCAGGCGGUCCUUUUAAGUCUGAUGUGAAAGCCCACGGCUCAACCCGUGGAGGGUCAUUGGAAACUGGGGGGACUUGAGUGCAGGAGAGAAGAGUGGAAUUCCACGUGUAGCGGUGAAAUGCGUAGAGAUGUGGAGGAACACCAGUGGCGAAGGCGACUCUUUGGCCUGUAACUGACGCUGAGGCGCGAAAGCGUGGGGAGCAAACAGG
rnacentral:rRNA from 1 species